UACGUAGGGUCCGAGCGUUGUCCGGAAUUACUGGGCGUAAAGAGCUCGUAGGUGGUUUGUCGCGUUGUUCGUGAAAACUCACAGCUCAACUGUGGGCGUGCGGGCGAUACGGGCAGACUGGAGUACUGCAGGGGAGACUGGAAUUCCUGGUGUAGCGGUGGAAUGCGCAGAUAUCAGGAGGAACACCGGUGGCGAAGGCGGGUCUCUGGGCUGUAACUGACGCUGAGGCGCGAAAGCGUGGGGAGCAAACAGG
rnacentral:rRNA from 1 species